AAUGGAACGAUCGACUGGGCAGAGAUCGCAUCUCCCUGGCUCUCCUCUCUCGGCCUCUUCCCCUCUCGCGCCCAAGGCAAAGCGACGCCGGCGGCCGCGACCUAGCCCACUCUCAGGCCAUCUCGCCGCCUCUCUCCGCCUGCGUCCCUCUCCACCCAAAAAAGAAAAACGAAGGAAAAAAAACUGAAUCAGCGACGCACCAGGUCGCCAUUCUCUGCGACGCAAGCACCAGAACAACAAGGCCGCCGGUGGCUGCGAGCGCCGGAGCGCACGGCGGGGAGAGCGAACGACGAGGCGCGGUCGGCACAGACCAGAGAGGUGCUGGGGCAGCUUCUUCUUCAGAGAUGUUUCUAGGUCUGCUGAAUCCGCAUGUCCCACAUGGAAAAUUGCUAGCUGUGGUGCUUGUGGCCGCUUCGACCUCCAUUGCUGCCGCUGCUUCGUCGCCGAGUGAGCAGGCAGGGAGCAGCCAGAAAUCUUUCAAUUGCAUGCCCUGCUCUAUGACAUACGUUUCUGAUGCAUAUCCCGGCGCCUUGACGCCACCGCUUGCUCAACAUAAUAACUUAGCUGACGUACCUCAUUCGUCUGACUUGUGCAAAGGACUUACUAAUGACCUUGAUGUGCCUGUGCUUUUGGAAUCGCACCGGCAACUUGUUGGUGAAGGUUCCCACCGCCGUCUUGUCUAUUCCAUGAAAUUUGGUAGCAGCAAAGAUACUUUGGUAAAAUUCCUUGAUGGCUAUGAUGCGAAUCUUGUGAUAAUUGAGAGCCUCCCUAGUGGGGUCUUUGUUGACCCAUUUGAGCUACAUCAUUUUGUUGAACGAAAAGGUGAGACAAAACUCUGAGCUAGCCAGUCGACUACACUAAUAUACAUAAUACAUUUACAUUGUGAUGAUUUGCUUUUUAUCUUGUACUUUUUCUUGAUGUUGCUGUUUUUGGAGACAAAAACCUGGAACUACCCUCAGCUCUGUCCAACCGGUCAGCUGUUGAGAUUCAUUUUGAUCUCAAGCCAAGCACAUCAAUGAACUGUAACCUUGUGAUGGAGCUUCCUCUCCAUGCUAGAUACCCAGUAAGUUUAUAGUUUCUCUGCGGUAACAAGCUGUCAACUUGAUUUAGGUUCAUGCUGUCUGCAAAUACAUACUUCUGAUUGGAAAGUUUGCCUUCUCAGUUUGAGGAAAUGGGUCACACGAUUAUUUUUAAAACAUUCAAAAACGGUCUAGUGUUUAUGUGCAUAUCACCUCCUUGAUGGAAAUCAAACAGACGAAAUAACUAUUCUAGGCCAGGUUAUCUAUUUGGCGCACAUAAUGCAUGCCUAGCAUGUUAAUUGCAGAACAGGCACCUAAAAAAAUAUCAAGUAGAGAUCAGCAAUACCUUGCAACUGUAGUAAUUUAUGUUUAGUUUUGCUUUAGGUCACAUCUCAUUAGUGUCCUUGUAUUUAUGGUAAUGUUACGGACCAGCUAUUGAGGGGAUCCCACCAUAAAAGGUUUCCAGAUUUUCCAGACGAACACUGAAGCUAGUGAAUAGUGUGAGAGAUGGUACAUCUGACAAAAAUAAAAUUUCUGAUAAACUAAAUUGCGGAAAAAUAAUUACUCAACUGUGUAGUCAAACAAGAGACCGAGAAAUGAGAAAGAUGAACCGUGAGAUGAAUGCUAAUAACUAAGUGGCAUAAAUCACUUUUCAUUGUAUAUUUGUGUGUUUUUUAUUUCAUCGUUAGGUCGAGUUUAAGAUUUUGCUAGACCGUGGCUCCCUGGUUACCUUGAUCCCACGUAUUUUUAGGAAAUUUUGAAAAGCUUUAAUGAUAUCAACAGAUCGAGUGAAACAAGGAACACUGCAGUGUGUUUGUGGUCAGGCAACAUAGUUGGUGAAAUGGGAAGCUACAGAACUGUAAUUAAUUUACCUUUUCUAGAGAAUUUCACUUUUGGAAUACUUUCAUCUGAAAUGUUCUGUGUGUGUUGGAGAUUGCUGUGGAUGGUAGGAGAUAGAAAGAGAAAACCGGCGGAAGCUAAAUCUGUGGGGCUGACCACCUACCCCACCUCCAUUUGCAUGUUCUAACUUGGUGCAAACAUACCUGAAAUGCACAUGGUGUUACGAAAAUAUCUCUCAUGUAGUCAUGUUGAUCUCCUUAUUUGUGAUGGAAGGUGAAUGUACAGGGCAGUUAUCUUGGGAGUCAUUUUCUAGGUCUUAGGUUCCUCCCAAAUUCUCUUAUAACAGAUGCUUGAUGUUAUUAAAGUCGCUUUCUUCCUCAAGAAAAUAUCUAAGAUUCUUAGUCCAGUCCAAGUAUCGAUGUUACCAUGGAUCCAUGAUAAAUUUCACAUACAGCCUCUCGACGCCAGCGGUUAUGCAACGGUCGAGUUCGGCAGCCCUGACCUGCUCCUCCGUUACAGAAGAAAGGUGACCCAUCCUGAUUCCUGCCUGUGGGUCCUCCAGAAUUUCGACGCCACACCUGUGGAGAAAGCCGCGUGGUACAUGCCUUGUGGCGACGAAGCGCACACAGGAUUUGUCUCUAGCCUCGCUUUCAUUUCGGCUCUGGUUUGCUCCAUGUCCAUAGUCCUGGCAGCCUCCCUGGUUUCUUGAUGCAAGUACUGGAUUCUCGAGACAUGAUGUGUUGGUCUACUUCAAAAGUCAGAUUGCUCUCGCAGGCUUUUGCACGUCCAUAUGCAAUCUGCAGUUUUCAGAGGAAACCAAGAGCACUGUUGUGCUACCCUUUGUGGCAUGUGGGCGAUCUGGACCCUCAGAAAUAAAAGAUACCAUGGGGAGACUACCAUGAACAUCUCACAAGCAUGCAGAUGGGCCUGGGAGAUGGCACCAGAUAUGAUCCAAACAUCAAAUUCUGAUGCAAAGGAGAAAAAAAAACUAGAAUCAUGAAAUGGAAACGCCCCACUGUAGGUUUUGUAAAGGUGAAUGUUGAUGCAUCUUUCAAUUUGGAUACUCAA